AUUGAACGCUGGCGGCAGGCCUAACACAUGCAAGUCGAGCGGAUGAAGGGAGCUUGCUCCUGGAUUCAGCGGCGGACGGGUGAGUAAUGCCUAGGAAUCUGCCUGGUAGUGGGGGAUAACGUCCGGAAACGGGCGCUAAUACCGCAUACGUCCUGAGGGAGAAAGUGGGGGAUCUUCGGACCUCACGCUAUCAGAUGAGCCUAGGUCGGAUUAGCUAGUUGGUGGGGUAAAGGCCUACCAAGGCGACGAUCCGUAACUGGUCUGAGAGGAUGAUCAGUCACACUGGAACUGAGACACGGUCCAGACUCCUACGGGAGGCAGCAGUGGGGAAUAUUGGGCAAUGGGCGAAAGCAUGAUACAGCCAUGCCGCGUGUGUGAAGAAGGUCUUCGGAUUGUAAAGCACUUUAAGUUGGGAGGAAGGGCAGUAAGUUAAUACCUUGCUGUUUUGACGUUACCAACAGAAUAAGCACCGGCUAACUUCGUG
rnacentral:rRNA from 1 species